AUUGAACGCUGGCGGCAGGCCUAACACAUGCAAGUCGAACGAGUGGCGGACGGGGGAUUAAUGUCUGGGAAACUGCCUGAUGGAGGGGGAUGACUACUGGAAACGGUAGCUGAUACCGCAUACCAUCGGAUGUGCCCAUAUGGGAUUAGCUAGGAGGUGGGGUAAAGGCUCGGCUGGGCGACGAUCCCUAGCUGGGCUGAGAGGAGGACCAGCGGCACUGGAACUGAGCCACGGUCCUGACUCCUACGGGAGGCAGCAGUGGGGAAUAUGGCACAAUGGGCGCAAGCCUGAUGCAGCCAGGCCGCGUGUAUGAAGAAGGCCUUCGGGUUGUAAAGUACUUUCAGCGGGGAGGCGUUACCCGCAGAAGAAGCACCGGCUAACUCCGUGCCAGCCGCCGCGGUAAUAC
rnacentral:rRNA from 1 species